rnacentral:piRNA from 1 species
GAGAUUGGUGAGACGCUGCAAGAAUGAG